rnacentral:rRNA from 1 species
AUCUCAAAUCAGGUAGGACUACCCGCUGAA